CCCCCCCCUUACAACGCCCUCCACCGGCGCCCUCCCGAUAAGGUCCGCAGGCAUCCAGACUCCCCUCGGAAGGCUCCGUCUGCCAUCCUUUCGAUGUUCCCUCCCCGCACUAGGAUCCCUUUCCGCACGCGGGGCCCGCUUUCCUCCACGUCUCCCCACGGAACACACUAGGGGUCCCCUUCCUUUUGUCCGCCCGGCAGAGCCCCCCCCUUCAGGGGGUCCUGCAAACAACACCCCACAUCCAUUUAGAGCCCUCAACCUUCUUGGGAGUCCCCAGACCCGCCCAGGGUCCCCUUUAGGGAGCAGAAGAUUUACACAACCUGGGUCUCUUUCUCGGGGGAACCCCCUCCCCCCGACAAAUCCUGAUAUCCCUCCCCAUCAGGGAGUCAUUCCCCCAACCCCCAGCGUCCCCUUCCCAGGAGGGCCCCCUGCCCUCCGGUCAUUUCUACGCGCGCGCGCACCCGCGUCCCCUUUCCUCGACGCGCCCGCGCCCCCUUUCCUCGCCACCCCCGCCUCUGCUCUCCACUGCCCCUCGAGCCCCUCUCCUUCCGCCCAGACAGAGACGACCCCCGCCCAAGCCCCCAUCCUCACUGGGCCCAUCCAGCACCCUCCCGCAUGCCGGCGCUCCUGGCCCAACCAGUGCGGCAGCGGCAGCAGCGAAGAGCAUCAAGGCUGGCUGGAGGUGCCCGCACCCCCUCACCUUGAGGCGCAGAUGAUGGCGACCGCAAAUGCCCAGCAGCGACCACAGAUCCGGCUCCUCAGACGAAAACCCACCGCUGCCUCCGCCGGGCUCCUUUAGCACUGCUGCGCCGCGCCGCCCCACCCACGCCCACCCUCAUUGGGCCAGCCCCACGCCCAUCAGCGCGGGUCCGUUGAAGCGCCCAACUCGGAGGCUAGACGUUAGCAACCCAGAAAAGCGAUCCUUCCCCCAGCCCACCUCCCCCGCCCCCUUACCCAUCACAAAUAAUAUUCAUUGGCUCGCGUUCAACGCCCUAGCAACUGGCGCCCGCACCUCACGGGCUUGCCGUGAUGUCAGUCACUCGCCCCUAAGAGGGGAGGCCGGUGCAGAAGCUGCAGAUGAGCUCAACCCUGCAGGCGCUGUGCUGCCAAGAUGUGCUUCGGGCUUAGGAGGUGCGCUGCUGCACGGAGCCACGGGGCGCCGUCCCCGCCGUGGCUCGGGAAGCGGAGGCUGCGGCGAUGCCCUGCGUGCUGCUGACUCUGGGAUUCAGGCAUGCAGCCGGCCGCGUUUCCUCCCAUCUGAGACGACCAAUCAAUCCCUGCCAGCAGCUGGAGUUAGGGGAGGCUCAGACUGCAGCCCCCUCUCUUGUCCUUUCCCGCUCCCUCCACAUUGUUGCCCAGCUUCCGCUCCUCCCUCCCCAGCCCCCACCCCGGGCUGUAGCCAGCGAAUUCCAGCCUUGCCCCAGCUAGAGUUCGGGAGCUCCUGGCACUUUUACUUAGGUGUCCCCCAGUUCUUUCUGGGGAAGCUUCCCACAUUAAUGGGGCUUUGGGUUGUACGACCUUGCUCCCUGGGCUUACGGGCGGAAUGGGGCGGGGCCCCGCUGCAGCUCCGCAGCUCACCUGCAGUGAAGGAAGGGCACGUCCUUCUCUUCCAGUCUUGCCUUUCCCCAGUUUACAAAAAGGAGCCGCCCAAAAUGGGAAUGUCUCUUCUAAUGGGGUAUCCCAGAUAAAAACAUGAGACAGAAAGGGGGGGAAAUCUGGUCCCAGAGAUACAAAUAAUCAUAAUGCACAAUAAAGAUAAAUUCCAGGAUUGCUGCA
ensembl:lncRNA